rnacentral:lncRNA from 1 species
GGUAAUAUUGACAAGAAUGACAUUACUCUGAGAAGCUAAAGAAGUGAAGAGGCAAAGAGCAAUACCAAUUUUGAAGAACUGAAGACAAGAUUUAAAGCUUGUAAAUGCCGAUUAUAACACUUUCUCCCAUUCUUCACUGUCAAAAAAAAUUUUAAACAUUCAAAUGAUCAAUACUAUUUCAACCCAACUUCAGUACUUCACAAAUCAAAUAAAAAAGAUAAAGAAACAAAAGAAACGGUAAGAUUGAUAACGAAAUUGGAAAAAAUAUGUGACCUUAAUUUGCAAAAAAAUUGGUAUUUUGCUGUUGCAGAAGACUUGGGGCUAGAGAGUGUUUUCUGGAG